AUCCCAUUUCCCCAUUUCAAUAUGGCAGCAAAGCCACAGUAAUCAAGGCAGUGUGGUCCGGGUGUAGACAGACGGGGAUGCCCGUGGAAUGGUCCAGAGUGCAUCAGUGAGGACCCAGAACUUAACACGCACAUUCCCAGCCUGCGGAUUUCAACAGCACCCAGACGGCUCCCUGUCGGCCUGUGGCUCUAGGACAUCCGGGUUUCACGCACAGCCUACCUCACGCCAGACGCUCGGAGGGCUCCAGAAGCAGCAGAAAUCUAAGCCAACCGAGCGGAUGGAGCCACAGAGCUCUCAGGAGAAAACGGGCAAAUCAUCGCGCCUAGCACCAAGAAAUCGAAGAGACAAUCUGCAGAAUGGGAGGAAAUAUCUGCACGUCAUAGAUCCAGUAAGGGACCUGUAUCGUAUCUAGAAUAUAUAAAAAGUGCUGACAAUUCAACAAGAAAAUCAACCCAAAUAAAAAAUGAGCAAAGAUCUCAAGAGACGCUUCUGGCGGGAGAACGGACAAAUGGCCGGCAAGCCCAGGAAAGCCUGCUUCGCGUCACCCAUCAGCAGGAAAUGCAAAGCAAAACCGCAGGAA